UCUGAUAAUCCACCGAGCUGUUCUCCAGCUCCGGGAAAGCCUGUGGUUUCCUGACCUCCCCUGUCUCUGUUCUCUCUGGAACCCCAGGUAGCCAGGUGUCUCGCUUCCUGGAGGGACCCCUCACUUCCUCGUCUCUCCCCUCCUUCGUCACCUCUGUGUAUCUUCCUGUCGCUGUUUCGGGGAGGUCUUCCCUGUGUCACCAUUCCACCCUUCUCAUAGAGUGGUACAUAAAUUUUUAAUUUCAGAGAUUCCUUUUUAUUUGCUGAAUGUUCUCUUUAAAACAUGCUGUACCCUGUUCUUGUUUCAGGGAUACUAUAUUUUAUUUCUGCGAAGAUAGUAAUAGCUCUCUCUCUUUUUUUCUGUUCAGGCUUCCUUCUGUCUGCACUGCCUGUUUCCUUGUUGGCUGGCUUGUUUGGGACUCUGUCUUUCCUGUUAGAGCUCUCCUCAGUUAAUUCACUCGGCAGAAAUUUAUGGAGUGCCUGCGGUGUGCCAGCCCUGUUCUGCAGCCUUGAACAAAAUGGUCGGAAGUCCCUGAGCUGGUCUGGCGAUGUCUGGGGAUGGUCAGAUGGUGGCUCCUUUUUAGAAGUGGGCACCAGAGGCUGAUUGGCAUCCCCGCGUGUGGGUGGCCCCGCAGCCGCGCUUCCCAGUGGCUGGCCCGCCCCGGCCGCCUGGAAUCAGCAUCUGCACUUUCACCUGCCCCUUCUGUUCUGUGGGGCCCCUCCCUCCACCUGGCCUGCUGUUUCCAGCCUUCCCUGGGCGGAGCCAAGGAUGGAAGCUCCUGGGGUUUACCUGCUACUUACCUGGGGCCACCAGCUCCUGAGCCAGGAAAUAGUGUGAAGAGGGCCACCCUGCCUCGUGGAGGCCCGGACACCUCAUCUACGGAGCGGGUGGCGGAGGCCAAGAGAGGAAGACGCUUGCGCCACGACGCUGGGGAUCCCAUGGCCAUGUCCUGGCUGCCUUGA
rnacentral:lncRNA from 1 species